UACGUAGGGUGCGAGCGUUAUUCGGAAUUACUGGGCGUAAAGCGUGCGCAGGCGGCUUUGCAAGACAGAUGUGAAAUCCCCGGGCUCAACCUGGGAACUGCAUUUGUGACUGCAAGGCUAGAGUACGGCAGAGGGGGAUGGAAUUCCGCGUGUAGCAGUGAAAUGCGUAGAUAUGCGGAGGAACACCAAUGGCGAAGGCAAUCCCCUGGGCCUGUACUGACGCUCAUGCACGAAAGCGUGUGGAGCAAACAGG
rnacentral:rRNA from 1 species